CAAGAAUGAAACGACUAAUUUUAUAGAAAGGACGUAUCCAAAAACGCGGUUUUCCUAUUAGACAAAAUUCCCGUUUUCGCCCCUUCGAUAAACCGGUUGAGUUUUCAAUCUUAUUAGAAUGCUAUCCAGUGGAGCCAGGUCGAAUAAUUUCUCAAAAUUCGUAGUGACUUUUUAAAAUCUUAAUUCUAGAGUUUGUCUUGAUUAGGUCGUAUGAGCCACUUGACGUGUUUCGAGAAAAUCGCUGUUGAAGGUUUGCAAAACAUAUUUAAUUUGUAUCAUAAAAAAAAUCGCUCAGAGUUGUCUUAAAAUUUCGUAUGCGAUGCAAAAAAAGAUGAGAAAUACGCUUGUGUAUUAAAUACAGGUAUAGAUUUGGUUGUUUCUGUACCCAUGCACUAAAGAGACUGUAAACAAAGAGGCGCCAUCUGAUCCCUUUCCAAAUAAGGGGCCGUUCAGAUACCACGUGGACAGAAAAAUGAGAUUUUUGACCCCCUCCUCCCCCUCCGUGGACAAGCGUGGACAUUUGGCAAACGUGGACAGUUAGAAAACACCACUUUUGGCCUUUUUGUUAUAGAAAUGGCUGAUUUUGAAAAACAUCGAAAAAGAAUUUCCUUUUUUUUUUUAUUUAAAACUACACACUCAUUUGGGGGAACACUUGAACAGUUGUAAAAUUGACCCAUUAUUGCGAACCUCCAGGAUCUGUCAAAUAAGGGGUCAUUUUUUUACUUCAAUAUUACACAUUUUUUGGAAAAGCCCGAGUACGCUUCAAGACGGGUAGUUUUCAAUCUUGUGAAAAUAUCGCCGUCACCUGAGAAGCAAAUGUUGUUGGCAACGUCGGAUUGUAGUAAGUGUUAUUUUUUAAUGUUUUGUGUUCUGAUUUAAUAAAAUAAGUUUUCAUUUACUGGGCCGGACAUGGAAAUAUGGCAGAAACUUUCGAACGUUCAUUGCUGGCAAGAGGAAAGUGGAAAUGAUGCAAAAAAAAUGGCAAUUUAAGAUCUCCUGAAAAAAUACGAUUCAUCUAAUUGGUUUGAAUUUCUUGCAGAUUUCACCAUCCUGUUGCCUGCGAUGUUUUGCUGCUGCAGUUUAAAUUUCAUCUUUAAAAAAGUGUUUAAAAGUGUUUAAAUAUUUGUGAUUAUUGAAUAAAAUAUUUUAUAUUUGAUAAAUCCAACUUGCUCUCGAUUUUACUUUUUUGCAUGCAACAUUUCAUGUCACACAAAAAACUGCUCACAUCCCCACCGAGUGGACAAGCGUUUGAAAUAAUGUGUAAAUUUGACACGACGAUAUGACGUACAGCCCAUGUACCCUAUAAAGGGUACAAGGCCUGUACACCAAAAAGGAGUUAACCCACACGGAAAAAUUGAGUUAUACAUAAAAUGUGUUGAGAAUACACUUUCAUUCAGACUAAUCGAUUGAUGCUCAAAAUUUGUAUAUUCCCAAUUCAAUUCUGAGUAGAUUUGGGUUGCCAAUAUUCAAAUAGAAACUAAAACUCGAUUACGCAGCUCUGUAUAAAAAGUAGUUGUUGUUGCAAUGCUUUUGGCAGGGGAUGUCAUAGCAAAAAAGCUCAUCCGUACGGUAUUUGACUGGUGUAAGUACUUUGAUUUUUUUAAAUUUUCACUCACGCCAUUUUGCCUCAUAAGAAAUGAUUGGUUGAAACAUUUGAAACAAUUUUAUUCAUAUUUGUAGGUUGCGAGGAACACAGGGAGAUAUGAAAUAAAAAUGUUCCGGCACGAUUUAUACUAUGUGGUGGAGGACGGAUAGCAACCGAAACUCAACGGAUCGGAAUACAAAGAAGAAAAACUAGACGUUAACCUGCAUUAAGGUUCACUAAUAAUUGCUAAAAGAAGUUAACGUUCCAAAAGUGGUUCAAAGAAAACAGGAAUAAAAUGAGCCUGAUAGAUCCGAAAAGAUAAAAGCCGGAGGAAUUCUCGUGCAUUGCAAUGAAGCAGGAUGGUAACUACUUGGCUGAGAACCCUCUGUGGAAAGACUACUUUCGGUGUUCUUCGAAGCGCACCCAAAGGAUGAGGGCAUCGUAUAGUGGGCUAUCAGAAAUAUAUGCAGAAAUAUUUUCGGUGCUGCGAGACGCCGGCGGCCAACUUUUAAUUGUGGCACCUUAACUGCGGAACAUGCCCGGAAUCGCCCAGUACACCAUCUGUAAUCUACAAAAUACAGAUCCAGUGCCAUCUAAAGCAAAAGCAUUGCUCGAGCGGAAGUCUUACUUUUCGAGAUAACCAGAAUGUCACUGGAAUGCUUUGGCUGCAAAAUACUAUUCGAUACACCGGGGGGUUGUAUCCGUUAAAUGUAAAAAAAAAGAUCGCGAGACGCAAAAUUUGUUUCUAUGCAAUUUAAUUUAAUAAGGCUGUAUUACUAAAUCGCCUAGUAGACUAUUUCAUGUAAUAUAUUGUUUAUGUUUGUAAAAUGAUUCUAUAGACAAUAAAAACUGAUAGCUUGUUGUUUAGAAAAUUAUUUAAUUAUUUUUUUUAUUUAAAAACAAUUACUUUUUGGAAGAAUUUCAAAAAUGAAUGGGCAUCCCCAUGUCAAAAUAUACAGAAUUGACUAUAACUGGAUGUAAGCUUUCGAAUGUGUAAAAGCUUUUUGCUCACGCUCUGUGUAAAGCACCCAAACAUAAAACUAAGUGGAGACACUUUUCUCGAAUCUGUAUGGAUUUUUAUACAGAACAGAGUAACUUUGUUU